ACUGCUCAGUAACACGUAGUCAAUCUGCCCUUAGGAGAAGGAUAUCCACGGGAAACUGUGGCUAAUACUUCAUAGAGGUUAAUUGCUGGAAUGCAUCUACCUCCAAAGGCAACGCCUAAGGAUGAGACUGCGGAUGAUUAGCUAGUUGGUGGGGUAACUGCCUACCAAGGCGAUGAUCAUUAGGGGCUCUUAGCGGAGUCGCCCCGAGAAGGAAUCUGAGACGCUAUUCCUAGCUCUACGGAGUGCAGCAGUCGCGAAUUUUUUGCAAUGCACGAAAGUGUGACAAAGCGAGCCAAAGUGCUUUCCUUUUUGAAAAGCUUUUCUUCACUGUAAAAACGUGGAGGAAUAAGGACUGGGAAAGACCGGAGCCAGCCGCCGCGGUAAUCCCGGCAGUUCUAGUCGCAUCCUAUUAUUGGGUCUAAAACAUCCGUAGCUUGUUCGUUAAGUCUCUUGUGAAAUCCAACGUCUCAAGCGUUGGGCUUGCGGGAGAUACUGGCGGGCUAGAGAUCGGUAGAUGCAAUGAGUACACUGGAGGUAGUGGUUAAAUACGUUAAUCUUCGGUGGACUAACAAUUUAGCGAAGGCACGUUGCAAGGACGAAUCCGACAGUGAGGGAUGAAGGCCAGGGGCACAAAACGGAUUAGAUACCCGUGUAGUCCUGGCAGUAAACACUGCUCACUAAACAUCGGGCCCUCUUCGGGAGGAUUCGGUGCUGAAGCGAAGGCGAUGAGUGAGCUACCUGGGAAGUAUAGUCGCAAGAUCGAAACUUAAAGGAAUUGGCGGGGGAGCAC
rnacentral:rRNA from 1 species